CGUUAUUGAGUUUUUAAUUGGUGGUUGUAACUGUCAUGUCACAUUUAACAUCUAUUUACUACCCUUCCCCUUUGGGGUUCCAUACUGUAUUGGCCAUUAAUUAUUUCAGCAAACUCCUCUCGCCCUUCUCUGGGUACUGAGCCCUGAUGAGGAAAGCUGCUUGAGCAUCAAGGUCCCUGGUAGGAAGUAAGAUGCGUUUCUGGCUCACACCCAGGCUCCAAUCCACCUGCCUCCCACACAGCUUCCAGGUCUACCCAGUGCUCUCCAGAAAUAGUCCAUGUUACUUAACCCCAUGCAGAAAACCUUUCAAUAUGGCAUCCCUUGAAUUCUGAGACUUUCCUUCUUUCCAUUUCUCUGCCUAUUAGCCAAGCCAGGCCUUAACUCGUCACAAAGAUUCCCUUGUAAUGCCAUUAGUGGAGUGCUCUUUGAUACAAAUCCUCAAAUGGUUGGCUUCCAGAGAUCUCCGGGGACUUGGAAGGUGCCUGUGGAGACCAUUAAGAGGGAGUCAGAUCCCAUGAGACUGGAGUUACAGAUGGUUGUGAGCUGCCACAUGUGUUCUGGGAACUGAACUCAGGUCUUCAGGAAGAGCAGACAGUGCUCUUAGCCGCUGUCUCCCAGCCCCAGCAGUCCCUUCUCCUGUUCCACCUAUAACCCCAGGUGCCACUAGAAGUUGAGAAGUUUCAAGUGUCCUCGGCUAUUUUGAAUUUGGUCACAGCAGCAAGAAACAUCACAGACACAACGGCAAACUGAAGGGCUUUUUGCUCAGGCUUCUCUUUUGAGCAGAUCUCUCUGGUUGUAAAGGCUUGAACUCCAGUCCUCACUUGGACAGCAAGCACAUUACUGACUGAGCCUUGGCCUUCUACACCAGAGAUUCUGCCCGGUGGUGAGGGCUACAGAUGCCUGGGACAAGAAGAGAGCAUGUGUUAAGGUCCUGCCCUCACUCCCGCACAUGCGCAGCUCAGAGUCUUGUGUCUUACAUCAUCAGUGGGCACUGGUGACUAUGUCCCCCACCUUAAAAAGCCAGAUGUGGACCCCCACCCUCUCUCUCUGUUCUCUGCUCUCUCU